rnacentral:tRNA from 1 species
UUGGAGAUAUAGCUCAGUUGGUAGAAUGCUUGCCUCACAAGCACAAGGCCUGGUUCAAUCCUCAGCACCAAA